rnacentral:rRNA from 1 species
UACGUAGGGUGCAAGCGUUGUCCGGAAUUAUUGGGCGUAAAGAGCUCGUAGGCGGUUUGUUGCGUCGAAUGUGAAAACCCGGGGCUCAACCCCGGGCCUGCAUUCGAUACGGGCAGACUAGAGUUCGGUAGGGGAGUCUGGAAUUCCUGGUGUAGCGGUGAAAUGCGCAGAUAUCAGGAGGAACACCGGUGGCGAAGGCGGGUCUCUGGGCCGUAACUGACGCUGAGGAGCGAAAGCAUGGGGAGCGAACAGG